UCGAACGCUGGCGGCGUGGCCUAAGACAUGCAAGUCGAACGAGAAAUUGAGUAGCAAUCCAUUAAGGUUAAGUGGCGAACCGGGUGCGUAACACGUGACUAACCUACCUCCGAAGUGGGGGAAUAACGCCGGGAAAUCGGGGCUAAUACCGCAUUGAACAGUAAGCUGAGGAUCAAAGCAGCAAUGACGCUUGGCAGAGGGAGGGCUGCGGCCUGAUUAGCUAGUUGGCGGGUGGUAACGCCCACCAAGGCUAAGAUCGGGUAUCCGGCCUGAGAGGGACGACACGGACACACUGGAACUGAAACACGGUCCAGACACCUACGGGAUGGCAGCAGUGGAGGAAUUUUGCGCAAUGGGGGAAACCCUGAAGCAGCGAACGCCGCGUGAGGGAUGAAGCCUUGGGGCUGUAAACCUCUGUCAUCUGGAUCCAAUGAUCGAUACUAACACGUGGUAUCUGAGUACGGAAGAGGAAGCCAGGGCUAACUCUGUGCCAGCAGCCGCGGUAAUACAGAGGACUGCGAAGCGUUGUUCGGAAUUCAUUGGGCGUAAAGGGUGCGCGUAGGCGGUUCGUUAAGUCGGACUGUGAAAUCUCACGGCCUAACUGUGAGCUGUCAGUCGAAACUAGCGUGACUUGAGGAUUGGGAGAGGUAGCGUGGAAUAGUUGGUGUAGCAGGUGAAAUGCGUAGAGAUCAACGGAGGAACACCGGUGGCGAAAGGCGAGUCUCCUGGACCAUACUGACGCUCAGGCGCGAAAGCUAGGGGAGCAAACAGGGAUUAGAUACCCUGGUAGUCCUAGCCCUAAACGAUGAUUGCCUUGGUGUAGCGGGAGGUACCCAUCCUGCGUGCCGCAGCUAACGCGAUAAGUGCAAUCCGCCUGGGGAAGUACGGUCGCAAGGAUUAAACUCAAAGGAAAUUGACGGGGGCCCGCACAAGCGGUGGAGCAUGUGGCUUAAUUCGAUGCAACGCGAAGAACCUUACCUGGCCUCGAAAUCUAUCACGAAAUCGGGUGGAAAAGCCGGUGACGCCCUAAAAGGGUGCAGGGGAUAGACAGGUGCUGCAUGGUUGUCGUCAGCUCGUGUCGUGAGAUGUUGGCUUAAGUGCCCGCAACGAGCGCAACCCUGUAUCUAGUUACUCGGCAAGGAGGUCCUCUAAACAGACUGCCUCGCUUUAACGAGGAGGAAGGUGGGGAUGACGUCAAAUCAGUAUGGCCCUUACGGCCAGGGCUGCACACGUGCUACAAUGCCGAGUACAGACGGUACGCAAGACCCGCGAGGUGGAGCCUAAUCCGACAAAACUCGGCCCAGUUCAGAUUGGGGUCUGCAACUCGACUCCAUGAAGCCGGAAUCGCUAGUAAUGGCGCAUCAGCUACGGCCGCGGUGAAUACGUUCCCGGGCCUUGUACACACCGCCCGUCACAUCAUGAAGGCCCGCUGCACCGAAGUCAGCCGCUGUCUAACCGCAAGGAGACAGGCCUCCGAAGGUAUGGCUGGUGACUGGGAUG
rnacentral:rRNA from 1 species